UACGAAGGGGGCUAGCGUUGCUCGGAAUCACUGGGCGUAAAGCGCACGUAGGCGGACUCUUAAGUCGGUGGUGAAAUCCUGGGGCUCAACCCCGGAACUGCAUUCGAUACUGCCUGGCUAGAGUACUGGAGAGGAGAUUGGAAUUUACGGUGUAGCAGUGAAAUGCGUAGAUAUCGUAAGGAAGACCAGUGGCGAAGGCGGAUCUCUGGACAGUUACUGACACUGAGGCACGAAGGCCAGGGGAGCAAACAGG
rnacentral:rRNA from 1 species